GUCCUGAUAGAGCAAAUGAAGAAGAAUGGCACCAGAUUUAUUCUCAUUCUGGUAGGUGUGAAGGCAGAUUGCAUGCUUCUUUUUGUUUCUGUGUUCACGAUUCAAAAAUUAAACCCCUGGGAAGAACUGGGAAAAAGGUAAAAGAAACCCCCCCACACAUCUUGGCCUCUUCCUGUGAGUCUUUAUUUAUUAUCUUUUAAAAGUUUUGAAAAGCCAAUAAAGAAGGAAAGAAUAGGUAAAAAAAAAUGCAUUGUAAGAGAUGAUACUUCGUCAUAUUUAUUAUUUUUUCAUUGCUGAAUGCCACUAGGAUUUAAUUAAUCAGUACUUUUUUGGGGAGAGAGUUAGGACAACUGUAGGCAGAAACACUGAAUGUAGGAAAGAAUAAAAGGGUCUCACCAUUUCAGGCUUCAGGAUGAAUAGCUAUAGCUCAGUCUCAUUUUUAGGAAACUGCAGGGGGUUAAAAAAUCUCUUAUACUGUAUCAUCAUUCAGCAACCAUGAGUCUUAGGGGACCCAUUUCUCUUUUAUUAAGCCCACAAAAAACGGAGGUAAGAUCCAGAAUGCCAACUUAUUAUUUUACAUUGGAAGUUAUAUCUUGGUAAAUACAGAAGUAACUACCCACAAAGGAUUUCCUCCUUCUAGCUUCCAGAAAUCAGAGCAUGAUUCUUGUUCAUUUUAAAAUUUAAGUAUUUACGAAACAUUGGCUACUUGAAAAUCACUGUUUUCUAAAGAGUGCGUGUGUUUUAAAUUAAUGAAUUAAUGGCAUUUAUUCUAGUAAAGGGAGACAGCCAAUAAAAAACUAUUAGGAAGGUAAUUUCAGAUAAUGUUGAUUUACAUGGCAAUUGGGAAACAGCGUAAUACAGAGAGUAACUGGGGAAGGUAUGAGAUGGGCUGAUGAAUAUCAAUGUCCAUCUCAAAUGGCCGCACCAUAGAAUAGAAUGCAGAAGUUCAAUUUCUUAAGGAGCACUGCUGUUAGACUCUGGAAAUGCUAUAAAUUGUCUCUCUCCAAUUGAGGAUAAUAUCUUAUUAAACUGCUUUAUCUCCAGGAUUUGUUUUCCAAACACUAGCACAUCUUUAUUUCUCAAUAAUUUUAUGGAGAAAUAUUAACAAAUUCUUUUAAUUCUUAGGUCUCUUUUUAAAAAAUAUUAAUUUCCCUGUUUAUUGGAAAAGUCACAUAUGUCAUAUUAUAUUUCAAUUUUUAUGAUUUUUUUCCCUUCUUUAGUUAUUGCUCUGGGUGUUUACUUUCUAUAAUAUGUAAAAGAUUCUUGCUCCCUUUGAAAGAGGUCAUCCUUUAUAAGGGUCAUCUAUCUUACUUUUGGGUCCCGGUGGCAACUUCCAUCUUAAUUGGUUAUGUAAUAUUCCCAGUAGAUAUGUCAAAUUAUCAAUGCUUUUUUAUUUAUCUAAUUUUAUUUUGGUCCAUCAUUUUUUUCUGCACUAAAUUGUCAAAGUUUGGGAGAGGACUUUCCUUAGGGACAUUUUUCUCACCUUUGCAGUCUUAAAUCCUGUCACUGCAGGACCCAGCCAUUUCUGGCAAUGAGACACAGUAUCUCACCUUCACCAGAGGACAAGAAGACAACGUGUUCAUCAAAUGGCCCAACACCAGUGACAUUGUCUGGGGA
rnacentral:lncRNA from 1 species